UGCUGCACCACCCUGGACGUGCCGAGCCCGUCUGAUCCUGGAAGCUGAGCAGGGUCGGGCCUGGUUAGUACUCGGAGGGGAGACAGCAUGACCGACAUGCCGACGCCAUGCAGCUC
rnacentral:rRNA from 1 species